UACGUAGGGGGCAAGCGUUUGUCCGGAAUCAUUGGGCGUAAAGAGCGUGUAGGCGGCCAGAUAAGUCCGCUGUGAAAUCUCGAGGCUCAACUUCGAGCUGUCGGUGGAAACUGUCUGGCUAGAGUCCGGAAGAGGAGAAUGGAAUUCCUGGUGUAGCGGUGAAAUGCGCAGAUAUCAGGAAGAACACCCGUGGCGAAGGCGGUUCUCUGGGACGGUACUGACGCUGAGGAGCGAAAGCGUGGGGAGCGAACAGG
rnacentral:rRNA from 1 species